GCACGUCUGCCAUCUCUUCCUGCUCUGGGUGUCACUUAGCUCUGAAAACAUAGGCAUCGGAGUGUAGCAGACUGACUCAGAGUCCUCCCAAGAUGCAGAUUCUACUGAAAUCCAAACCCAAGGGGUCUACAAAAUGGGCAGAAAACAAACAGCAACAAGAACAACAGAAGAUUCAACACAGGAGCAGCCUACAAAAUGCAGGCUGUAACCUUGAUGGUAUUGAUUGAGUGCACCUGUCCAUCUUCAUGUUAAACUGUGAGCUUGAUUGCUGGCAAGUUUAUAGGAUUAUGGGUUUACUUGGAUGCCUGUGUUUUACUAGAUAUAAGAAAACUGAAGCCCAGAAAAUUUAUUUCCUUCACCUGGUCACACACAGAUCUCCUGGUAUAUUCAGAACUAGAACUCAGAUACUUGAUUCCCAUUCAGAAAGAACCUGGUCAGCUGGUUCGGGGUUAAAGAGGACAGAGAACACCAGUGAAAAAACCUCCACUGAGUAAGGGAGCUACCUUGUACUUCUAUUUGGCUGCUCAGAACAUUCAGAUGCUCAUUUUCUGGUUUUAUUGGUUUUGGACAGUUGUACUCAUCAAAUUAAGUGACCUUCAGAAAAGUGAGAGAUUAUAAAUCACAUGGUUAGUUUCUUCCAACCAAAGAUAAUAGAACACUGGCUGAUGAGACUCAGUCCAAAUUCUCUGUUAUAGAAAUGCAUUGCUUGCUUAUGCAGUUGGCUUGGGAUGAGGCCAACUCUGGGUGGGGCCCAGAUUAAAGUAGCAAAGAUACUAUUAUAAAACAAUUUGACAUGGCAAAAACAGUAAACAUUUAAACUAUUACUUACAUGCCAGGUACUGUGGGCAGCACUUUGCUUGCACUAUUUCAUUUAAUUCUUAAAAGCACCCAUUUUAUAGAUGAGAAAAUUGAGGCUUAGAGAGAUUAUGUAAUUUUCCCAGGACAUACAACUUCCAAAUGGGCUGAACUAGGACUCUAAACUGCUUUAUUAUGACAAUAGUACCCAUGACUUUAACCACUACACUCUCCUGUAGAAUAUUUAGAGGUAUGUUGCGAUAGACACCAUUGUUUUAUACACGAUGUUGACACACACUUUUAAUAUAAUUUAAACUUUUCAAACACUGGUCUAUCAGGUAAGUGAAUAAGUGCAUAAUAGAAG
rnacentral:lncRNA from 10 species